UACGUAGGUGGCAAGCGUUGUCCGGAAUUAUUGGGCUUAAAGCGCGCGCAGGCGGUCCUUUAAGUCUGCGGUGAAAGCCCACGGCUCAACCGUGGAGGGUCAGUGGAAACUGCAGGACUUGAGUGCAGAAGAGGAAAGUGGAAUUCCUUGUGUAGCGGUGAAAUGCGUAGAGAUGUGGCGGAACACCAGUGGCGAAGGCGACUUUCUGGUCUGUAACUGACGCUGAGGCGCGAAAGCGUGGGGAGCAAACAGG
rnacentral:misc_RNA from 1 species